rnacentral:rRNA from 1 species
GAUGAACGCUAGCGGCAGGCUUAACACAUGCAAGUCGAGGGGUAUAGUAGCAAUACUAGAGACCGGCGCACGGGUGCGUAACGCGUAUGCAAUCUACCUUUUGCAGGGGAAUAGCCCAGAGAAAUUUGGAUUAAUGCCCCAUAGUAUAAUGACUCGGCAUCGAGAUAUUAUUAAAGUCACAACGGCAAAAGAUGAGCAUGCGUCCCAUUAGCUAGUUGGUAAGGUAACGGCUUACCAAGGCGACGAUGGGUAGGGGGCGUCAGAGCGUGGUCCCCCACACUGGCACUGAGAUACGGGCCAGACUCCUACGGGAGGCAGCAGUAGGGAAUAUUGGGCAAUGGAUGCAAGUCUGACCCAGCCAUGCCGCGUGCAGGAAGAAGGUCCUCUGGAUUGUAAACUGCUUUUAUCGGGGAAGAAUAGUUUUCUUGCGAGGGAAUGUGACGGUACCCGAUGAAUAAGCCACGGCUAACUACGUG